AGGGCCGAGCUCGUUCCUAGUGUAGGGGAGAAGAGACGAGGACGAGGAAGAGGAGCCCUGCGUCACUACGGAUUUAAACAACCGGUGUAGCAUCUCCCCAGGUUGUCGCAGCGCCACACCAGAUUCCAGCUCCACCAAAAAUCUCUCGUAGUACCAGCAGCACUACAGACUCUGUUGGGUUUCCCUGCAGUGACACUUUUGUCUGUCCAGCAGGAAGGAUCUGUUGUGGCUCCAGCAAGGAGGGGUUUUCCUCUUCAAGGUUAAUUGCUUUCCAACUGGUGCACAGCCAAUAUGGAGAUGUGAGGGUGAAGGAGGCAGCAGGUAGGUGCCCCAGGGCCAUGUCAACAGCAAAGUGAAUGGACAGAAUGAGGGCACAGCAGGUGAAGUCCUCCUCUUUAUUCUGCCCUCAGACUCUUCCCUGGAGCUUGUUCUACUGAAGAGAUGUGCAGGUCAUCCUGUCAGUCUUUCCUUCUCAUGCUACCAUGGAUAAAAUCAUCCGUCUCACUGAACCGUGCUGAAAUAAAAGCUGUUGUAACUAUUUGUACUAAAA